AUCCUCGUCUCACAUUUCCCAAUAUUAUAUUGCACUCAAAUACUCUUAAUCACAUCAUAUUUUUUAAACAAUAUUUCUAACAAUAAUUUCACAGAGCUUCUUGAAAGCCAACGAACGUUAUUUGCUCAUCACAGAAAUUUUUGAUAUACUCUGUAAAUUUCUUCCAGUCCUCGGAGAAUCUCUGGUCACAUUGGUUCUUAAUUCUCCCCGUCAGUCUGUCCAUUUCGGUGUAUUCCAUCAGUUUCAUCCUCCAUUCUUCUUUCGUGGGUAUCUCUUCCUGUUUCCAUUUCUGUGCCAGCAAAAUUCUGGCUGCUGUUACUACAUACAGAACUAAUUUCACAUCUUAUUACUCUAUGAAUAUUCAUCCCAAUUCAACAAAUCAAAUUCCAUACGUGGGUUAGAUUAUAUCCAGUCUGUAUUGAUCCAAUUUGCUUACGCUUCCAUUCUACCACAUCCUGUCUUGCUUGUCCGUCUUCCCACACAGCCAUUAAUUUCACUGGGUUUACUCUUGAGUAGGACUGGCACUGGCCACAACCUCAGGGCUCGGUUUUUGCCCUGUGCUCUGUCCAGGGCUGGGGUGAAAUGUUGCAGCUACACUGUUGAUGUGGACAGAAUAUUGCCAGCACAAAACCCAGUGUUCGGAAGUUUUCCCUGGGUGCCCAUACGCUACCAGGGCAGGUUCAGGCUCCUUGUAUUAAUUUCCCAGGCCCUAAAUAAUUUGGGUUCAGGAUACUUCAGGGCCCGCCUCACCAGCAGGCAUUUUAAUUGAAGGCUGAUCCUAUAGCUAACUGACCUUUGUGGUUUUUCAUAUAGAAUCUUUGUAAACCUCUUAAGAGACUAUUGUAGUUAAAUGGUAUAUAAAUUGUAUAACUGAAUAAUAAAAUAAAAACCACUUCCGUAACUGCAAAAGAGGUUCCUUUUGAAAGUGCCUGAAUCCAUUUCAGUUUUCCAAACUUAAAUUUCCUGGUAUUUUCAUCUCUCCUGCAAGCUACUGUCUGGCGGCACUCUGACUCUCUUAACUACACACACACAAAAUCAUUUUGCUAAGGGUUUCUAAGGUUUAUAAGGUAAUUUAUUUUGCUUUUCUGCUUUUGCCUAACAAUGUCACGAUAAUACUGCAUGUUUGUUUCAACAAUCCUGCUUUUCAUAUUUGGUGAAUAUCCUGCAUCUAGUAACUCAAUAAAGAAUUGAGCCUCUCCAAAUCUAGUCCCCGUUUUUAUAUUCCAUGUAUAUCCUGCAUAGGGAAGUUUUCAAUGUUUAAUGUCUAUUAUUAUUAUUAUUAUUAUUAUUAUUAUUAAAAUAUGCUGGAAGCCGCCCAGAAUGGCUGGGGCAACACAAUCAGAUGGGCAGGUUACUGCUACUAAUACUAAGGCUUUGCUCAAAUGAUACAGCAGUGAAUUCCUCAAAAUAAGAGGUGGGGGGAAAUUUUGGCUCCAAGGGAACUUGCAGGAUAAUUUUGCCAGGUAGGUAGAGCAUUUUGACUCAUAGCUUAUCCUCAAAACAACCCUGGAAGGUAGGGCAGGCUGAGAGAUAGCGACUGGUCCAAGGUCACACAGCAAAUUUUUGUGGCUCAUUGGUGAUUUCAACUUGGGUCUCUCAUCUUAGUCAAAUCAUGACACCACAUUGGGGCAGGGGGAGAGGAAGGGGAGCUGAGGAAAGAGUAGAGCCACAUACUUAAACAGUACGGCCUGGGAUCCUUUCAACUGUCAAUUUUGAGGACAAAACAUGGGGCCUUAUGCAGGGAACAAGGGAUGCUGCCUUAUACGCCAUGGGUAGGCAAACUAAGGCCCAGGGGCCAGAUCCAGCCCAAUCACCUUCUAAAUCUGGCCCGUGGACGGUCUGGAAAUCAGCAUGUUUUUACCAUAUCUGUCAAGUGUCCCUUAUUUGAAGGGACAGUCCCUUAUUCCAGCUCCAUGUCCCGCUGCUGUCCCUUAUUGAUAAAUGUCCCUUAAAUGAUGUCCCUUAAAUUUCAAAGGAAGCAACUCCUCUCCCUCCCUCCCUGCCAGCCAGGGAGGAGGGAGGCUCCAACUGUGUUGCUUGGCUGUGUUGCUCACCCAAUAAGAAGUCUAAGAACGACUGGGGGGUGGAGCUUGCAUGCCUUGUGUGUGGCUAGUUAAUGCAAGCUGAGAGGUUUUUUGAAUGCUGGAUGCCAUUUUGGUGCACGUGCUGCUGCAAACUUUGCAGUGCAAGGCCAGGCCGGGGAGCCAUCUUAAGUUGAGGCUGCAUAGGCCUUGUGGUGCAUGUGAUUCAGAUUCUAUUCAGUUGAACCUCUGGUUACAAAGUUGGUUGGACAGUGUUCUCGAAGCUACCAGCAUGAGUUUGACCAGACUGCAGGAGGACAGGAAGACUGGAGUGCCUGGAACAGGUGAGGCUGCAGGUCCCUUAUUUUGGCUGCUGGUCCCUUAUUUUCAAGGCUGCUGGCCCCUUAUUUUCAAAUCUGUAAGUUGACAGCUAUGGUUUUUACAUGAGUAGAAUGUGUGCUUUUAUUUAAAAUGCAUCUGUGGGUUAUUUGUGGGGUCUGCCUGGUGUUUUUACCUGAGUAGAAUGUGUGCUUUUAAUAAUAAAUUAAUAAUAAUAAAUUUUUAUUUAUACCCCGCCCUUCCCAGUUCAAAAACCGGGCUCAGGGCGGCUAACAACAAAUUUAAAACACUUAAUUGAUGCAACAAAAAACAGCAUAAAAUACAGUAUAAAACAUGAAUAACAAUAAAUACAGAAUUCAGAAAUCAAUUUAGGGGGGGAAAACCAUCCAAUAAACAUUUAGCUGGCUAAAUUAGUCCUAUUUGGACCAGCGUGGAGACCAGGGGAGAAUUAGCUGUGGGAUCCCAGAGCAGGUAAUCUUCAUAAAAAGGGGAGGGGGAGGGGAGGAAGGGGAAUAAAAGAUCAGGCUAAGUUCAAGUUGAAAGCCAGGCGGAAUAGCUGUCUUACAGGCCCUGCGGAAAGAAGUUAAAUCUUGUAGGGCCCUGGUCUCAUGGAACAGAGCAUUCCACCAGGCCGGAGCCAUCACUGAGAAGGCCCUGGCCCUGGUGGAGGAUAUUCUGACUUCCUUAGGGCCCGUGACCUCUAAACUAUGAUUAUUCAUUAUUCAUGGACCUUAAGGCCCUCUGCGGGGCAUACCAGGAGAGGCGGUCCCAUAAAUAUUUAUUUAAAAUGCAUCUCUGGGUUAUUUGUGGGGCAUAGGAAUUCGUUCAUUCCCCCCCAAAAUAUAUAUAUAUAUAGUCCAGCCCCCCACAAGGUCUGAGGGACAGUGGAACGGCCUCCUGCUGAAAAAGUUUGCUGACCCCUGUUAUAACUACAUCAGGCCAUUGGUCCAUGCAGCUCAGUAUUAUUUUCCCACAUCUGCCUUUUCCAACAUGGUGCCCAUGGGUGCCAGGGCACCCGCAAUGUCCUAGCAGUUGUUGGGAAACCUCGUUAUUUCCCUCGCAAAGCUCCAAUGACCAGAGGGCUUUAACAAACAAUCUCCCUUCCCAGGGAAUUAUGGGAAUGGGGGGGGGGUGUCUCCUGACAACUCUCUGCAGGUGGUGCUUGUAUGUUUUCUGAAGAGGGGGAUUGUUUUAAACCCACUAUAUAAUUUAUUCUAUCCAGUUUGGAAACGCUUGAAAAAAACACCACACAACGUGAACUCUAUGUUGCAUGGCGUGACUUUGAUCUGAGAGCGAACGAGAGACAGCCCUUGGAGCAGUGAUGGACUGGCGUUAACAGAACUAGCAUGCUACUUUGCUGAAAGACCCUGGACGUCCUAAUAUUGCAGAUACGAGAGGUGGACUCAUGGCCUGUCAAACUCUAUCCCGAGUGAAAUCUACCAGACCCCAUUGUUUCAGGCCUGGCGACACCCUGCUCCCAGCGUUUCCUAUGGCUGCCAAAGAGCUCUUGCCAUCAGAAAGUUCUUUCUAAUGUUUAUUUGGAAUCUCCUUUUUUGUAAUUUGAAUCCAUUGGCUCGGGUCCUACCCUCCAGAGCAGGAGAAAACAAGCUUGCUCCCUCUUCCGUGAGACAGCCCUUGAGAUAUUUGAAGGUGGCUAUCGUAUAUCCUCUCAGCCGCCUCUUUUCCAGGCUAGUCAUACCCAGAUCCUUCAACCGUUCCUCAUCAGGCUCGGUUUCCAGACCCUUGAUCAUCUUGGUUGCCCUCCUCUGUAUACAUUCAAGCUUGUUGAUAUCUGAAGGAAGGUGAAGACAGGUGACCCCACCUAGGCCCGAAGUCACCCCCCCAACCAGGCCUCAAAACUGUUCAAAAUUCCUUUUGUCUUCUAAAAACCCACAGCUACAGCUUUUCUGUGGAUUCUCACAAGAUGUUGGUACAUAGGCAAAAUGUUACUUUUAAAGGCUAAUGAAUAGGCUCUAUCAUUGCCAAGAAUACUCAGGCCUGAGAAACGAAUCUUAUCUCAUUCGGUUGCAACAUAUUGGACAUGCCGAACCACCAGGGCUCCUUGACCCACCCCCUCGGCUUCUCAGGCCCCCUUUCCUGGGAAGGGUGCCAAGAGUCCCAAUAGUCCCAAGACAGCUUUCUGUUCAUGCUCAGAGGAACUCAUGGACAGGACUCCUGAGGGAGGAGAAAGGGGGAGGGAACUGGAAAUGGGUAUAUAUGUUUGUGCACAUGACUGUGAACCCGUGCAUGCUUUCUGUGAACUAUCACACUUGCUCCUUCUACCAGUUCAUGGAUGGUAGAAAUAAAAGCUUUUUCUCUGAAACUAUUCCUUGACUCCCACUUCCCUUUCCCGGGCGCAGUAUUUUUCCCACCCGAGGGCAAAGCCUCAUAAGGCUACAAUGUCCUCCUUAAAUUGUGGCGCCCAGAAUUGGACACAGGACUGCAGGUGUUGUCUGACCAAGGCAAAAUAGAGAAUAUUACUUCUCUUGAUCUGGACACUAGACUUCUGUUGAUGCAGCCUAGAACAGCAUUAGCUCUUUUUGCUGCUGCAUCACACUGUGAUAUUAAGCUUGUGGUCGACUAAGACCCCUAAAUCCUUUUUCCCCCCCCACAUGUACUACUGGCAAGUCAGGUCCAUUAAUUUUUAUGAGUCUUCUCUGUGUACGGCUCUGUGUACAACCCUUACCAUUUUUCUCGAUUUUAUUUUAUUUUGGUGAGUUG